rnacentral:rRNA from 1 species
CCUACGGGUGGCAGCAGUCGAGAAUCAUUCACAAUGGGGGAAACCCUGAUGGUGCGACGCCGCGUGGGGGAAUGAAGGUCUUCGGAUGGUAAACCCCUGUCAUGUGGGAGCAAAUUCAGAAGAUAGUCCCACAAGAGGACGAGACGGCUAACUCUGUGACAGCAGCCGCGGUAAUACAGAGGUCUCAAGCGUUGUUCGGAAUCACUGGGCGUAACGCGUGCGUAGGCUGUUUCGUAAGUCGUGUGUGAAAGGCGCGGGCUCAACCCGCGGACGGAACAUGACACUGCGAGACUAGAGUAAAGAAGGGGGGAGCGGAAUUCUCGGUGUAGCAGUGAAAUGCGUAGAUA